GGGGAUUUAGCUCAGUGGUAUUAGCACCUGCCUUGUAAGCAGGCAGUCGUGAGUUCGAUUCCCGGUACCA
rfam:Cavia porcellus supercont2_0 genomic scaffold, whole genome shotgun sequence.